UUGUCAGUGAGGUUAAUCCUUACCUGUUCCUCCAUAAUGGAGAAAUAGACAUGAUGAAUGGAGGAGACUGAGUUUGUGAUUACAUCAAUCUCCCACACUGCCCUGACUGACAACUCAGGGUGUGUGACAUUCUGAC